rnacentral:rRNA from 1 species
UCUGGAAUCCCGAAGAGAUUUGGGAGUGCUCGCAAGAGAACCGGAACACAGGUGCUGCAUGGCUGUCGUCAGCUCGUGUCGUGAGAUGUUGGGUUAAGUCCCGCAACGAGCGCAACCCUUGCCAUUAGUUGCUACAUUCAGUUGGGCACUCUAAUGGGACUGCCGGUGACAAACCGGAGGAAGGUGGGGAUGACGUCAAGUCCUCAUGGCCCUUAUGGGUAGGGCUUCACACGUCAUACAAUGGUCGGGACAGAGGGUUGCCAAGCCGCGAGGUGGAGCCAAUCUCAGAAACCCGAUCGUAGUCCGGAUCGCAGUCUGCAACUCGACUGCGUGAAGUCGGAAUCGCUAGUAAUCGCGGAUCAGCAUGUCGCGGUGAAUACGUUCCCGGGUCUUGUACACACCGCCCGUCACACCAUGGGAGUGGGUUUCACCAGAAGUAGGUAGCCUAACCGCAAGGGGGGCGCUUACCACGGUGAGAUUCAUGACUGGGGUGAAGUCGUAACAAGGUAGCCGUAUCGGAAGGUGCGGCUGGAUCACCUCCUUU